rnacentral:rRNA from 1 species
AUCAACUUUCGAUGGUAGGAUAGAGGCCUACCAUGGUGGUAACGGGUAACGGGGUGUUAGGGCACGACACCGGAGAGGGAGCCUGAGAAACGGCUACCACAUCCAAGGAUGGCAGCAGGCGCGCAAAUUACCCAAUCCCGACACGGGGAGGUAGUGACAAUAAAUAACAAUACGGGGUUCUUUCGGAUCUCGUAAUUGGAAUGAGUACAAUUUAAAUCUCUUAACGAGGAACAAUUGGAGGGCAAGUCUGGUGCCAGCAGCCGCGGUAAUUCCAGCUCCAAUAGCGUAUAUUAAAGUUGUUGCAGUUAAGAAGCUCGUAGUUGAAUUUCGGGAUCAAAUUGUUGGUCGUGCUUCGGUACGCACUGGCAUUAUUGGUUCCUACCUUCUGAAGAACCGCGAUGUCAUUAAUUUGGUGUCGUGGGGAAUCAGGACUGUUACUUUGAAAAAAUUAGAGUGUUUAAAGCAGGCGCACGCUUGAAUACAUUAGCAUGGAAUAAUGAAAUAGGACGUUUGAUUCUAUUUUGUUGGUUUCUAGGAUCGACGUAAUGAUUAAUAGGGAUAGUUGGGGGCAUUAGUAUUCAAUUGUCAGAGGUGAAAUUCUUGGAUUUAUUGAAGACUAACUACUGCGAAAGCAUUUGCCAAGGAUGUUUUCAUUAAUCAAGAACGAAAGUUAGGGAAUCGAAGACGAUCAGAUACCGUCGUAGUCUUAACCAUAAACUAUGCCGACUAGGGAUCGGAUGAUGUUAAUUUUUUAAUGACUCAUUCGGCGCCUUACGGGAAACCAAAGUGUUUGGGU